rnacentral:tRNA from 1 species
GGGUCGUUAGCUCAGUUGGUAGAGCAGUUGACUUUUAAUCAAUGGUCGCAGGUUCGAAUCCCGCACGACCCACAA